AGAGUUUGAUCAUGGCUCAGGACGAACGCUGGCGGCGUGCUUAACACAUGCAAGUCGAACGGAAAGACCCUUCGGGGUACUCGAGUGGCGAACGGGUGAGUAACACGUGGGUGAUCUGCCCUGCACUUUGGGAUAAGCCUGGGAAACUGGGUCUAAUACCGAAUAUGACCAUGCACUUCCUGGUGUGUGGUGGAAAGCUUUUGCGGUGUGGGAUGGGCCCGCGGCCUAUCAGCUUGUUGGUGGGGUAAUGGCCUACCAAGGCGACGACGGGUAGCCGGCCUGAGAGGGUGACCGGCCACACUGGGACUGAGAUACGGCCCAGACUCCUACGGGAGGCAGCAGUGGGGAAUAUUGCACAAUGGGCGCAAGCCUGAUGCAGCGACGCCGCGUGAGGGAUGACGGCCUUCGGGUUGUAAACCUCUUUCAGCACAGACGAAGCGCAAGUGACGGUAUGUGCAGAAGAAGGACCGGCCAACUACGUGCCAGCAGCCGCGGUAAUACGUAGGGUCCGAGCGUUGUCCGGAAUUACUGGGCGUAAAGAGCUCGUAGGUGGUUUGUCGCGUUGUUCGUGAAAACUCACAGCUUAACUGUGGGCGUGCGGGCGAUACGGGCAGACUUGAGUACUGCAGGGGAGACUGGAAUUCCUGGUGUAGCGGUGGAAUGCGCAGAUAUCAGGAGGAACACCGGUGACGAAGGCGAGUCUCUGGGCAGUAACUGACGCUGAGGAGCGAAAGCGUGGGGAGCGAACAGGAUUAGAUACCCCGGUAGUCC
rnacentral:rRNA from 1 species